rnacentral:rRNA from 1 species
GUCGGAAUCGCUAGUAAUCGCGGAUCAGCAUGCCGCGGUGAAUACGUUCCCGGGCCUUGCACACACCGCCCGUCACACCAUGGGAGUUGGUAACGCCCGAAGUCAGUGACCCAACCAAACGGAGGGAGCUGCCGAAGGCGGGACCGGUAACUGGGGUGAAGUCGUAACAAGGUACC